rnacentral:tRNA from 1 species
UGGAGCAGCUUGGUAGCUCGUCGGGCUCAUAACCCGAAGGUCGUAGGUUCAAAUCCUGC